rnacentral:lncRNA from 1 species
CGAGCAGACGACAAAUGCUGGAGACCCGAGUCCAGUGCCCCCAGACCCGAUGGGGAGGGAGAGACGCAGAGCAGUGAUGGGACAGUUUUCGGGAGGAUGCUACCUGAGUUUUGGCAUCCUCGUGCUUCUCGGUUCGCAAGUCCCCGCCACGUUAGCAAGAGCGGCCCCAUAUGGAUCCCUGAAGGAUGGACACACAGAUGGACACAGUGGGGAUCCACAGCCAGCCUGGCUGACACACCGGCCUCCCGUCUCACCAAGCCCCACGCAGAAUGGCA